GUGUGUGCAAAUUUUCAAGAGUUUUUGAGCAUGUUAAGGGCCCCAAAAGCCCCCACAACUUUGACGAAAAAUAAGAAUACUAAACCCUAAAUAGCCAACUUCCUGUUGGGCGGAGCCUAUGACAUGCAGUAGGAAAGUUGUUUGGCUUGAUGAGAUCUAUAUGUGUACCGAGUUUCAUACGUCUACGUGCAAGUAUGUAUGAUAUAUGGCCCUCCAUAUUCCAGGGGGCGCUGUAGAGCCCCUGUGCCACGCCCAUGUAUCAGUCUCUGCCCGGCCCUAAUGGCCGCAGGUUCCAAUGUGUGUGCCAAUUUUCAAGAGUUUUCGAGUAUGUUAAGGGCCCCAAAAGCCCCCGAGACGUUGGAAAAAAAUAAUAAUAAUAAUAAUAAUAAUAAUAAUAAUAAUAAUAAUAAUAAUAAUAAAAAAUAAUCCUAAGGAAAACAAUAGGGCUCUCGCCCUCCAGGCUUGAGCCCUAAUAAUCCUAAGGAAAACAAUAGGGCUCUCGCCCUCCAGGCUUGAGCCCUAAUAAUCCUAAGGAAAACAAUAGGGCUCUUCGCCCUCCAGGCUUGAGCCCUAAAUAUAGCUGCAAGCAGCGAUGGCGGGCUCAAGCCAUCAGCGCAAACGCCACCCCGGUGGCAUCAGGUAAACUGUGCCCAGCGGGCACAUGCAUUUACAGUAAUCCUCUGGCACUCAGGUUUUAAGGGAUACGGCAAUUAACGGGUUAAUCCGAAGCAUCAAGACUUUGAAAUCACAUACACAGAACAAUAUUCAUUAAGAAAGUGAAAUUAAAUGAUUAAUAAACUAUUUAUUCGA
ensembl:lncRNA